AAUCAGACUUUAAAGUGAUUGAUUAGGGCUCAUUCUGCCAACGCCAGGAUUUUGUGUCUAUAGGGAGUGGAAAGCCUUGAACCAGCAGAUCCCUGAUUUACUUCAUCAUCUCAUUGUGAGAGAUGGUCAAUUAGAUGACGACUUGUUAGUCUAAACAUGUCGGGUGGACCUUUCUACUAGCAUCGCUCAUGUACUUGCAUUUAUAUCUGAUAAGCCUACUUACGAUCAUCCAAAUUGGCUUGCUAACUUUGGAUUUGCCAAAUUUCAAGUAGGAUUCAACCACAGACGAAUCAAGCCUGGGCAGAUUCAAUCAUCCCUAUUCAAUAAUCAAUAUAAAAAAAAACAUCCCGAGCAACGCUUGUAGACUGCAUAGAGACUUCAGAAGAUCAGCAGCACUGAGAUGCAAAAAAAAUUGCAAUAAGGAUACACAAUGCUUUAGCAAACUAAAUGUAAUUCUAGUUUACAUCACUUUAAAAUCUA